rnacentral:lncRNA from 1 species
AAAAUAUUAAAAAAAUUUGUAAGGGUUCCGCGGAACCCAGUGUCUCGCCUAUUUUUGCUGUAAAUUGCAGGCUCAACAAUAAUGAGGAAAAAAAUCAAUAAAAAUAUUCCUCUUGUUACUAUUUUAUGAUUGUAAGAAAAUCUAAGUCCAUUUAAAAGUAAAUUACAGAAAAAACGGAGUAAUCUUUUUACAAACUUUACUUCUGGAUACAAUCUAAUAUGAUCAUAAAUAAGCUUCUGUCCAAGUUUGGUACAAACCCAGUAUAGUUUAAUUAAGAAAGUUAUUAAAAUUUUAAAAACUUUAACCACAGAGUGAAUGUAAUGGUUCCCCGCAGAAAAACUAAGUCCAUUUAAAAGUAAAAUAUGGAAAAAAUGGAUUUAUUUAUUUACAAACUUUACUUCUGGAUACAAUCUUAUGAUCAUAAAUAAGCUUCGUCCAAGUUUGGUACAAACCCAGGAUAGUUUAAGAAAGUUAUUAAAAUUUUAAAAACUUUAACCACAGAGUGAAUGUAAUGAUUCCCCGCAGAAAAAACUAAGUCCAUUUAAAAGUAAAAUAUGGAAAAAAUGGAUUUAUUUAUUUACAAAAUUUACUUCUGGAUACUAUCUUAUGAUCAUAAACAACCUUCUGUCCAAGUUUGGUACAAACCCAGGAUAGUUUAAGAAAGUUAUUAAAAUUCUAAAAACUUUAACCACAGAGUGAAUGUAAUGGUUCCCCGCAGAAAAAAACUAAGUCCAUUUGUAAGUAAAAUACGGAAAAAAUGGAAUUUUAUUUUUACAAAAUUUACUUCUGGAUAUUAUCUUAUGAUCAUAAACAAGCUUCUGUCCAAGUUUGGUACAAACCCAGGAUAGUUUGAGAAAGUUAUUAAAAUUCAAAAAACUUUAACCACAGAGUGAAUGUUUUGUUUCCCCGCAGAAAAAACUAAGUCCAAUUAUAG